rnacentral:rRNA from 1 species
UACGAAGGUGGCAAGCGUUGUUCGGAUUUACUGGGCGUACAGGGAGCGUAGGCGGUUGGAUAAGCCCUCCGUGAAAUCUCCAGGCUUAACCUGGAAAGUGCAGAGGGGACUGUUCAGCUAGAGGAUGGGAGAGGAGCGCGGAAUUCCCGGAGUAGUGGUGAAAUGCGUAGAGAUCGGGAGGAACACCGGAGGCGAAGGCGGCCAGCUGGCCCUGACCUGACGCUGAGGCGCGAAGGCGUGGGGAGCGAACGGG